GAAUUUUCUAGAGCUGCACUCACCUAUAAAGUAGCCAUUAGCCACAUGUGGCUACUGAAAUUAAAAUUUAAACACAGUUCCUCAGUCACACUAACCACAUUUCAAGUUCUUGUUAGCCACAAGAGGCAGGCAGUUACCAUAUGGACGGCACAGAUGUAGAACAUCAUCACAAAGAGUACACUGAACAGCACUGUUCUAGAACUAACGUAGCACCUGUCCUCAGAUCCAAGAUACCCAGGAAACCCAAGCUGUGCAACUAAAAUCCACACAUGGACACACUACAGUCAAACUGCAAAAUACUAAAACUGAGAAAGUUAAAAACAGCCAGUGAGGAGUCACACCACGGACAAAGGAACAAUAAUUAGCUAACUGGCUUCCCAGCAGCAAAUGUCAAAGCCAGUAGAAAACAAAGGAAGAAUACCUUCAUUGUACUAGGAGAAAAUGCUGUCAACCUAGAACUCUUUCAAGACCAGGGUAAUUUUCAUACCUAAGAGACAUAUAAGAGAUUUACCAACAACAUACCUUCUCAAUGGAAAUUCCAAUUCAUUUUAGAUGGAAGGGAAAUUAUCUCAAGAAAAGACUGAAAUGUGAAACAUAAAAGCUGACUGUAUGCUGGGAAUAAAGUUAGCCUCAACAAAUUUCCAGGUACAGUAUUGAUUUUAAUUAGGCUCCCUGAUCACAAUGCAAUCAAGUUAGAAAUCACCAACAAGAAAGAGAAAAACCCAAUACAUUUGGAAAUUAAAGACAAUUCUGACAACUUGUAGGUUAAAGACAACUCUUUAAAGUCUCAGAAAUAUGAAGCUUGUUCCAACUACCUUAAAACAUCAGGCAAUUUCUCAUGUAAUCAUUAGUAAAAUUGAUUAUGUUUUAAAAAAUAUAAUUGCCAAUACCUAAGCUGCAGAUGUAAAUUUUGUGUUGUACCUGUAUACACUUUUAACAAAUACACUAAAACACAUGAUUAAAAGAACAAAAGCUUACAGCUGGGGAUUAAUAGUUUUCUACUUCAAUAAUCGAGUCACUUAUCUCACUAGAAUAUAUUUUUGCUCUUUUAAACUUGUCAUUGAAGAUACAAAAGUGAUCACAAACAGUCUCAGCUUCUUGAGGCUGACAGCAUUCAAAGGAGCCAGCCAUCAGUUAUAGAAACAAAUAUAAAAUGGCAGUCGGGGUGUGUAAUGUGACCCUGAAACAGGGGCGGGGACAUCAGGAAAGGCUUUCCCGGGGAAGUGAUGCUUAGACGCAUUAAGACCUAAUAUGUGGCCAGGCGUAGUGUCUCAAACCUGUAAUCCCAAUACUUUGCGGGGCUGAGGAGGAAGGAUCACCUCAGUUCAGGACACAUGGUGAAACCCCAUCUCUACAAAAAAUACAAAAAGUAGCUGGGCAUGGUGGUGCACACCUGUAGUCCCAGCUACUUGGGAGACUGAGGUGGAAGGAUCACCUGAGCCAGGGAAGUCGAGACUGCCGUGAGCUGUGUUCGUGCCACUGCACUCCAGCCUGGAUGACAAAGUGAGACCCUGUCUCCAAAAAAAAAAUAAUAAUAAUCAUAAUCAUAAAAACUUAACAUCUAAAAACAAAGUACCUAGGGAAGGACAAGGGAGAACAGCAUUCCAGAAAAGAAACAGCAGUACUGCAAAGCUACAAAGUUUUAAGUGGACAAUUAAAGUAAAACUAUAAUUUAAUUUUCAGAUGGUCAAUAUAAAAACAAGGCACAGUAGAAAAACUGCAACAUUUUUAUGCUUUCUAAUCUAUUCCUUCUUUAAUGAGACUUGUUCAUCUUUCUACUGUCACAGAACUUAUCUUUGACUAUACAAAUACUGCACACUCUACUUAAGACACAUAGAAAAUACUACUGUUAUACAAAGUUAAAUGGUUAGCAUUUUCCAAACAUUUUAAAAGCCAUAAAAAUCAACUUUAAUCCUUAAGACCUGUUAGAAAGAUAUUUCUAUUCUAGUCGUCAAAUAAAGAAGUUUCUGCUCUGGAGGGGCUACAAAGUAUGCCUUCUGAAUUGUUCUCACUAAUCUAUGCAUGGAAUAAACAAGUCUUAAGUAAUUCAUUUAUUCCCUACCAUUAUUUUUAACAUUCCAUACCCACUUAAUUUAACCAGACAAGCUGUGUAACACAUGUGUAUAACUUUAGGUAUUGGAACCGAAGAGUUAAAAAAAAAAAAAAAGCAUCAGGAACUCCUAGAAUCUUGUUAUAGUUAGCCUAAAGGUGACUAUGUAAGCACAAAAGGAUCCAAAUUAGUGACUGAAGGUUAACUUUGACGUAGAAAUUACAGCUAAAUUAUAUAGAUAUGGAUUAACCUCCACUAACAAUUUUCUUCAUGUCCCCUUUGACAGACACUGAAAAAAAAUUCUUCAUUUCUUUUCCAGAACUUGAUCUUUUAAAUAAAACAGGAUGACUGACAAUGUAUUAUAUAUUUAUAUAUCUCAUAUAUAUAUAAACUAUAAUAUAAUAUAUAUUUAUAUAUUAUAUAAACUAUAAUAUAAUAUAUGUUUAUAUAUUAUAUAAACUAUAUGUUUAUAUAUUAUAUAAACUAUAAGUUUAUAUAUUAUAUAAACUAUAAGUUUAUAUAUUAUAUAAACUAUAAUAUAUGUUUAUAUAUUAUAUAAACUAUAAUAUAUGUUUAUAUAUUAUAUAAACUAUAAUAUAUGUUUAUAUAUUAUAUAAACUAUAAUAUAUGUUUAUAUAUUAUAUAAACUAUAAUAUAUGUUUAUAUAUUAUAUAAACUAUAAUAUAUGUUUAUAUAUUAUAUAAACUAUAAUAUAUGUUUAUAUAUUAUAUAAACUAUAAUAUAUGUUUAUAUAUUAUAUAAACUAUAAUAUAUGUUUAUAUAUUAUAUAAACUAUAAUAUAUGUUUAUAUAUUAUAUAAACUAUAAUAUAUAUGUAUAUAUUAUAUAAACUAUAAUAUAUAUGUAUAUAUUAUAUAAACUAUAAUAUAUGUUUAUAUAUUAUAUAAACUAUAAUAUAUGUUUAUAUAUUAUAUAAACUAUAAUAUAUAUGUAUAUAUUAUAUAAACUAUAAUA
rnacentral:lncRNA from 10 species